rnacentral:misc_RNA from 1 species
UCCGGCUUAUCACCGGCGGUUUCUUUAGAGUGCCCAACUAAAUGAUGGCAACUAAAGACGAGGGUUGCGCUCGUUGCGGGACUUAACCCAACAUCUCACGACACGAGCUGACGACGGCCAUGCAGCACCUGUCACUUGGCUCCUUGCGGCACCCCUCUGUUUCCAGUGGGUUCCAAGGAUGUCAAGCCUCGGUAAGGUUCUACGCGUAGCGUCAUAUUAAACCACAUCCUCCUCUGCUUGUGCGGGUCCCCGUCAAUUCCUUUGAGUUUUAGCCUUGCGGCCGUACUUCCCAGGCGGCAUACUUAUCGCGUUAGCUUCGACGCACAGGGGGUCGAUACCCCAUACGUCUAGUAUGCAUCGUUUACGGCGUGGACUAC